rnacentral:lncRNA from 1 species
AUGUGAUUCAUUUUGAUCACAUAUAUACAUGCAUUCCACAACAUUCACAUUUACAUUCUUUUUCAUCAUUUAUUCUCUUUUACAUCGCAUGAUUUCCAAAUUAGAACUCUUUUACAUUCAACAUAAGCUCCUUUUUACAGUCUUUGCAUUUAACAUCAUAUUCUUUGCAUUUAACAUCAUUUAUACCAAACAUCAACUAGUAACACCAUCAAACACAAAAGAUGAUAUAUAAGGGUA